UUAGGACAUAAACAUGCAGAUACUACUUGGAUUACUUGGAGUCUGGCUGGACUAGGUACGAAGUAACGGCGCUUUUAUUCUGACAAAUUCAAACCGGAUAUGUGCUCCUAAAGGAAAGGCUAAAAACAGAAAACCUCUGCUUCCGGAAGCUAAAUAAUGAUAGCUAGCUAUUGAACCACUGCUGUCUGUAGUAACCUACGCUGUGAGCUCUCUAUGGGCGCAGCAUCUUGUGAAAACGACUUCUAGUCACAAUACGCUACUUUAUUCUUAAAGGGCCAGUAUUCAUCUGUCCACCACUGGCGCCUCCUUGUUUCGAUGGAAUUUAACGGUUAUUUACCAAAGCAAGAAUGUCAGUUUAUGCAUCAAGUGAAGGAUGAGUUGGAAACCUUCCGAAAGACGAGCAACCGCAAGCGUGUGCUCCUGUUCCCCCCUCUACCCAGCAGACUGCGAUACCUGAUCCACAGUCACAUAGAGGACCUGCCAGAGCUCACCACCUUCUCAGUAGGGGAGGGCUGGUGCCGUAGGGUGGUGGUCUGCUAUUCUGAGCUCAGGAGUGAGGAAGAUGAAGCUAUUGACUUGGAGAUCAACAACAGCUUGUGUGAAGAGCCCCUUAAAAGUAGAUGUAGGGGGGAGGAGUGCAAUGUUAAGUCUAAAUCUUCGAUCGCAUCACGAAGCCGAGGACGCAAGAGGCCGGACCAACCCCUUUACAUGCCACGAGCUGCUCGGGAGAGACUGUCCUUACAGAACUCUCAAGGACCCCCAGGUGACCAGGAGUUGCGCAGCCCAGUCUCAAGUAGCUGCAUCAGCAGUUCAUCCGACUCAUGUUCCUGUCCUGCAAAUACAGAAAACACAAAAUCCUCAUCCUCCUCCACAUCCACACAGGACUGUCUCCCCAGUGGAACAGAUCGAGUCCUCAGCAGUGUUGCUGACAGUCCAGUGCUUUGUCCUCAAGGGCUGACACUACUUGAAGCUGAGCCCCAAGUCUUGGACCAGAGUGUGGCCUCCUUCUCUGACAUGACAUUGGAGGAUGAUGAUAAGGACAAGGACUAUCUUGCUAGUCUGCCAUGUGAAGAUGUAACUGAAGAGAUCAAGGCACACCUGAAAGAGGCACUGACUGUUUCCAUUGAGCACGCUCACGGUGACUACUCCAUGUACGUCAAUGUGUGCAUCAGCAUCAACCCGGAUGAGUUUGGCCAUGUGAUCGAGAUAUAUGACUUUCCACACAUGUUCAAAACAGAUGACCUCCUGGAUGCUUUCGCAGAGUACAGUGAUGGUGGAAUGAAGAUCAAGUGGAUAGACCACACACAUGCCCUGGGGGUUUUCUCCAGUGAGUCGGCAGCGGUCCACGCCCUGUCCAUCUGCCAUCCAAUGCUGAAAACAAGAGCGCUGGUUGAAGGGAGUAAAAAAGCCAAAGCCAAGGCCAUUAGAUCUGCAGUGCAUGUUGUGGAUCAGAUGGUUGUUUCUGUGCCGUGUUCCAGAGUUUAUCCAGCCAGUGAAGGAACGUCCUAGGACAGACUGUGCCGUAGCCCAGCGGAUGGUGACCAGAGCUCUGGGGCUGAAGCGACGAGGCAGAGUGCAGCGAUAUUGAAGGGAAUUGACAACACUGUUGGCUAAUGCAGAAAGGUCCAGCAGACGUGUGCCUCCAUUCACUGUCCCUCUGUAGAGGCAUUACGAGCAAUGUCUGCCUCCUUCACUCAUCACUACAGCAAGCUGACUGGUGAGAGAAGCAGCUGAAUCUGACCCCUUUGGACAUUAUUGUUGAAUAAGUCUGAGAAAAAGAGCAAUUUCAUAUAGAAAAGGCUCCCAAGAAGCUCUUUGCUUGUUUUCAUUUAAUUAAAACUAAAGUGUGUUUAAUUUCCAGGUAGGCACGUUAAGUUUCUUUUUUGCCAAGGUGAAACAGGAUUCUUGGCAUGAUUAUACAUAAGAAGUAAUUCUCUUUUAACUUGAUAUUGAUUUCCUACAAUGUUUAACUCUCAGGAUGUGGUUAAAUAAAGUUACUGCAUUGUGAUGUAGUCACAGACAGAUUUUUAUGUGGAGGGCACAACUUCAACUGACAAAUGUAAUGUAGAUCCAUUAACAGAAUCUCAUCUGUUAAAGAUAUAACACUAUAUAUUAUAAGCCAGCAUUUCAGUUGAGGGACACAUUUAACAGUAAUGUUAUGCUUGACAUUAUUGGAUAUUUUUUAAUGUUUUAAUUCAUGGUUUUAUUUUUUCGUAAGCAACUUGUAAGAUGUUCAGUUAUUUUUAAUAUUUAUUUUUUCCUCUAAAUAACACAAAACUACUUUUGGAUUGUGGAAAGUGUUCAAGUUAUCUCUCACUCUACGUUACAGAAAACUAACUGGAAAUGUUAGGUCUUCUGUACUUGUACUGUACUGGUAUUUUUGUCACUUUGAUAAUGUACAUAUUGUACUUGAUAAUUUUACAUAUGUAAGGUGUCUAAAAUGUCGUUAAGAAAGAAUUGUAUAAGUUUGUAUAUAGUACAAGAAGAUGUUGAGUGUUUUAUUUUCUGUAUACUGAAACUGGAUGUUUCCUUGAAACUGUCUUUUGUGCCUGCUGUGAGAGUGACAGGACUUGUUCUGUCAUUUCAUCUCUGCAUUGCUUAUGUUGGUUACCUGUAGAACUGAAAUGCAACCAUUGAGUACUUUCAGGGAGGAGAAGACGGGAUCUCAUGGAUUCAUGAAAAUAUGAAAACUACCAGUAUACAUGAUUUUUAAUGUGAUUGAUUGUAUCGGUGGUGUUAAAUUUUACAUGAAGAUAAACAGCGCAGGUAGUGGUCUCACCUAUAUGACAGUUGUAUGUCCAUAUCCGUUGUCCAUCGUACCGAGAGCGGCACUUCAUGAUGUUGUUGGUGUAAUCUGAUUCUGCCACCUCGUAGUUGGGGUUUAUCACAAUCUGGGAGUGCAAAGACAAAUGUUAAAAUGCCUGAAAGGUAAUGUUGCCUUUCAUUUACACAUGCACAUUGUAUGUUGUUUUUUUUUGUAGUGUUACUGACGAUUAAACAAUGCUGAUUUAG